UGAACUUCUUCUCUUUGCUGAAUUGUUGCUGAGUAGUGAAAAUUCUGCAUUUGAUUUGGCCUGAAUCUAGGAAAUUGGAGGCUCCUGGAGUCGUUGAUGAUCGUUGAUUUGGCUGUGGUUACUGUUCUAAGGUCGUAUAAUGAGACUACAUUUUUUCUUUGGGAAGGACAUGAAGA